rnacentral:rRNA from 1 species
AGCGAACGCUGGCGGCAGGCCUAACACAUGCAAGUCGAACGAACUCUUCGGAGUUAGUGGCGGACGGGUGAGUAACACGUGGGAACGUGCCUUUUGGUUCGGAAUAACUCAGGGAAACUUGUGCUAAUACCGAAUGUGCCCUUCGGGGGAAAGAUUUAUCGCCAUUAGAGCGGCCCGCGUCUGAUUAGCUAGUUGGUGAGGUAACGGCUCACCAAGGCGACGAUCAGUAGCUGGUCUGAGAGGAUGACCAGCCACACUGGGACUGAGACACGGCCCAGACUCCUACGGGAGGCAGCAGUGGGGAAUCUUGCGCAAUGGGCGAAAGCCUGACGCAGCCAUGCCGUGUGAAUGAUGAAGGCCUUAGGAUUGUAAAAUUCUUUCACCGGGGACGAUAAUGACGGUACCCGGAGAAGAAGCCCCGGCUAACUUCGUG